AGCGGCCCGCUCGGGCGGCGGCGCUGCGCUGCGCUGCGCUGCGCUGCGCUGCGCUGCCCGGGCUCUGCGCACCCGCGCUUCCUUUUCUGCAGAAGUAGCUCCCCUUUCACGUGUUAUUUCCUUUUUUUAAAAGCGGUUAUUCAGCUGCUGUGAUGACUUUUCUGUCCAGAUGACAAUCUCUCUCAGCGCUAUGGUAAUGGGGCUGCUCAGCUGAAAGUAGAUGCUUGAAAAUUCUCUGCACUCUUCCAUCCUACCAGCAAACAGGCUCUCCAUGGAUUUCUUAUGCAGAAAGCCCUGCAGGCAUCUAUCACUAUGGAAGAGGAAGAAACUGAUCUGCAGUAUUUUCUAAAAUAAUGUUUACAGGAAGGAUUACUGAAAUAACUGGGUCCUUUUGAUCCUGCGGACACUGGUUUGUAUUCCUCACGCAAACACUUCGCUACCAGUAAGUUUGCUGGCGGCCCUGCGGCGCAGAUGCCCCGUGCACACACGGAAGCGGAGGAGGUGCGGAGCCGGCUCGGGGCGCGCAGGGCGCUGCUGGCGCCGAGGGACCUCCUUGCCAAGCUGCUGCCCUUCGGCUGACGGAGCGAUGAGGGGCUGGCGGCGCAACUGCGCUCCAUGACGCACCGCUUCCUCUGCCACCUCCUCCUCCAGGCAGAGGCAAGGGAAAACCUGCUCAUCGACGCUGCGGUAGGUUUGCUGCCGGACGGCCACGUUGCGUUUCAGAACGCACUGCAGCUUCUUUCUCAGUUUCUCUUCUUUCUCUAGUAAAAAACCUUU